GAUGAACGCUGGCGGCGUGCCUAAUACAUGCAAGUCGAGCGAACAGACGAGGAGCUUGCUCCUCUGACGUUAGCGGCGGACGGGUGAGUAACACGUGGAUAACCUACCUAUAAGACUGGGAUAACUUCGGGAAACCGGAGCUAAUACCGGAUAAUAUAUUGAACCGCAUGGUUCAAUAGUGAAAGACGGUUUUGCUGUCACUUAUAGAUGGAUCCGCGCCGCAUUAGCUAGUUGGUAAGGUAACGGCUUACCAAGGCAACGAUGCGUAGCCGACCUGAGAGGGGGAUCGGCCACACUGGAACUGAGACACGGACCAGACUCCUACGGGAGGCAGCAGUAGGGAAUCGUCCGCAAUGGGCGAAAGCCUGACGGAGCAACGCCGCGUGAGUGAUGAAGGUCUUCGGAUCGUAAAACUCUGUUAUUAGGGAAGAACAAAUGUGUAAGUAACUAUGCACGUCUUGACGGUACCUAAUCAGAAAGCCACGGCUAACUACGUG
rnacentral:rRNA from 1 species